rnacentral:rRNA from 1 species
UACGAAGGGGGCUAGCGUUGUUCGGAAUUACUGGGCGUAAAGCGCGCGCAGGCGGCUUUCCAAGUCAGUGGUGAAAGCCCGGAGCUCAACUCCGGAAUUGCCAUUGAAACUGUAAAGCUUGAGUACGAGAGAGGUGAGUGGAAUUCCCAGUGUAGAGGUGAAAUUCGUAGAUAUUGGGAAGAACACCGGUGGCGAAGGCGGCUCACUGGCUCGUUACUGACGCUCAGGCGCGAAAGCGUGGGGAGCAAACAG